AUUGAACGCUGGCGGCAGGCUUAACACAUGCAAGUCGAGCGAGCGGCGGACGUGUGAGUAAUGUCUGUGACCCUGCUUGAUGGCUGGGGUUACCUACGGGAACCGGUAGCUAAUACCGCAUACCAUCAGAUGUUCCCUGAUGGGAUUAGCUAGUAGGUGGGGUAACGGCUCACCAAGGCAACGAUCCCUAGCUGGUCUGAGAGGAUGAACAGCCACACUGGAACUGAGACACGGUCCAGACUCCUACGGGAGGCAGCAGUGGGGAAUAUUGCACAAUGGGCGAAAGCCUGAUGCAGCCAUGCCGCGUGUGUGAAGAAGGCCUUCGGGUUGUAAAGCACUUUUAGCGGGGAGGCGGUACUCGCAGAAAAAGCAACGGCUAACUCCGUGCCAGCAGCCGCGGUAAUUC
rnacentral:rRNA from 1 species